rnacentral:lncRNA from 1 species
AGAUCCAAGCAUUGAUUUUCGCUUGUCGCUCUCUACUCUAGUCAUUCUCUCGGAAUCUAUUUUGUAUCUUCAAGUCUGUUUAGGUUUUAUGUACCUUGAGUUCAAAUUCUUAGUUUAAAAUUUUUUUACAUCCAAAUUUGUUUUGUUCUCAACCGUUUUACUAAUGCAGAACAACAAUAGCUGUCGUUUCUAGAAGGAAAUAUGCAAAAUAAUUUUUCCUUUGACUCUGGAAUGUCGUUACAUGAAAAUAAAUAACAUUUCGUCAUA